ACGAACGCUGGCGGCGUGCUUAACCCAUGCAAGUCGAACGGUGAAGCGCCUUCCUUUUUGGUGGGUGUAGAUGAGUGGCGAACGGGUGAGUAACACGUGAGUAACCUGCCCCCUUCUUCUGGAUAACCGCAUGAAAGUGUGGCUAAUACGGGAUAUUCUGGGUCUGUCGCAUGAUGGGUCUGGGAAAGAUAUUGUUUCGGUGGGGGAUGGGCUCGCGGCCUAUCAGCUUGUUGGUGGGGUGAUGGCCUACCAAGGCGGUGACGGGUAGCCGGCCUGAGAGGGUGGACGGUCACACUGGGACUGAGACACGGCCCAGACUCCUACGGGAGGCAGCAGUGGGGAAUAUUGCACAAUGGGCGCAAGCCUGAUGCAGCGACGCCGCGUGAGGGAUGGAGGCCUUCGGGUUGUGAACCUCUUUCGCCAGUGAAGCAGGCCUGCCUCGUUUGUGGGUGGGUUGACGGUAGCUGGAUAAGAAGCGCCGGCUAACUACGUG
rnacentral:rRNA from 1 species